rnacentral:rRNA from 1 species
UACGGGGGGGGCAAGCGUUGUUCGGAAUCACUGGGCGUAAAGCGCACGUAGGCGGAUUGUUAAGUCAGGGGUGAAAUCCUGGAGCUCAACUCCAGAACUGCCUUUGAUACUGGCGAUCUCGAGUCCGGGAGAGGUGAGUGGAACUGCGAGUGUAGAGGUGAAAUUCGUAGAUAUUCGCAAGAACACCAGUGGCGAAGGCGGCUCACUGGCCCGGUACUGACGCUGAGGUGCGAAAGCGUGGGGAGCAAACAGGG